rnacentral:rRNA from 1 species
GACGAACGCUGGCGGCGUGCCUAAUACAUGCAAGUAGAACGCUGAAGAGAGGAGCUUGCUCUUCUUGGAUGAGUUGCGAACGGGUGAGUAACGCGUAGGUAACCUGCCUUGUAGCGGGGGAUAACUAUUGGAAACGAUAGCUAAUACCGCAUAACAAUGGAUGACACAUGUCAUUUAUUUGAAAGGGGCAAUUGCUCCACUACAAGAUGGACCUGCGUUGUAUUAGCUAGUAGGUGAGGUAAUGGCUCACCUAGGCGACGAUACAUAGCCGACCUGAGAGGGUGAUCGUCCACACUGGGACUGAGACACGGCCCAGACUCCUACGGGAGGCAGCAGUAGGGAAUCUUCGGCAAUGGGGGCAACCCUGACCAAGCAACGCCGCGUGAGUGAAGAAGGUUUUCGGAUCGUAAAGCUCUGUUGUAAGUCAAGAACGGGUGUGAGAGUGGAAAGUUCACACUGUGACGGUAGCUGACCAGAAAGGGACGGCUAACUACGUG